rfam:Caenorhabditis brenneri strain PB2801 C_brenneri-6.0.1_Cont1244.4, whole genome shotgun sequence.
CCAACGGCUCUCUUGAGAGCCACAAACCUCUCUAUAAUCCUGAAUUU